GGUAUUAAUCCUCCUUAUUAGUACCUUCAUAUAUUUUCAGAGUUUUAUGUCUGCAGCAUGUUGUGAAGCUUAUUAUAUGAAGUUUGUUGGGCUAGUAAAUGUUAAUAUUCUGAUAUAAUUGUUGUCCACAUAAUUACUUGUUUGACCCUUGUUUACCUCUAGGUUAAAAUAGGCCUCCCAGUGAACAUGUUCUCCACUUUGUCUACUCUAGAAUACACAUCAUCUCCACCUUCGCAGCCGUAAUCAGGAAUCUUACACUUAGUGAGAACUACAGGUGCUAAAUUUCAUACUUCCUUUGUGGGCAUCAAUUAUUUUAUGUAUGAAUUCGGAUAUGUCAAUUAUGGUCAUUCUUACACUGAAAGCAGCGAUCAAAGCUCUAAUUUUUUUGGGGGAAACAUAAGCAUUUUUCAGAUCUAUGCGUUUGGGAAAGGCAGAAAGUAUAAAGGAAUUACGAUAUUUUAGACUGUCUUGACUUCUGACACUAUAUUUAUAGUUAAUUUGUCUUCCUCCAUUUCUUCCUUUUUCUCCAUAGUGGAGGUCAAACAUUAAAAGAUGCUAUUUCCAUCUUAACAUAUUACUAAUAAAAGUUCUUAUCGCAUUAGUUACUGGAAACUAGUUUGAUUUAACAUUUUGUUCUCACUCUUUCUUUUCCUUCUGAUCCUAUCUCCAGACAAAGUAUUUAAAAUCUUUGCUUUCUUUUCCUUCCAUAUCUGUGCAAACAAGAUACGAAUUUCCCUUUUGUUUUCCAUUAGAUAAUAUCCUUUCCUGUUAAUCCAAAUGUUGGGUCAUAUACUUACAUUUACGCCAAGUCUAUUGGGAGACCUUGUGAAAAUAAGAGAUCUGCAAUAGCAGUAGCAUAUGACCAAUGAACAAAGAAACAUACUUUUGGUCAUUGCAAAUCCUACCCAGCUGUUAGAUACAAAAAAACACUAGACAAACAUAGGGUGUUUCAAUUACGUAAUGAAGAAUUAAGGUGGCAAUAGUAGACUGAACUGUGUUCAUGGCAGAGCAAAACAUGGAACAUAAUUCAGUUGGUAGGCACUGGUGUAAUGUUUUGAUUCUUUAUCUGUCUCUGUUCUUCUUCAACAGUCUAAAAAAUGACCUGUUUAGACUUUGCUGAUUUUAAGGUAAAGCUUUUUUCUCUAUGAGAAGAUAGGAGGUCUCAGUCUUUUCAGGGUCCCCCAGUGCCUCUCAACAGAAAGCCCUGUUUUUGGGAUGUGACAUUCACAAACACCUGCACAUGCAUGCACACACACACACAGGUUGAGAUUGAGAAGGUUUCCUAUUCUUUGGUAUUUAGACGACCGACAGUCCUGUGGGAAAUGGCAUAUAAAUUUUGGUCUAAAUUUUCAGACACAGUCGUAGACCUAUAUUUCAUCGUAUAAUUUAGGGUUUCUGACCCAAUUCAUAUGUACAUGUUUUAAUUUUCUAUACCGUACAGACAAGAACACAUUGAUUGGCCUUUUUUAAGGGAUAUGUUCAUGUUUGCAUACAAGUUAAUUUAUCUUUAUAUCAUGUUAUAACACUAAAA